UCUCUCUCUCUCUCUCUUACCCUACCUGUUAGGGGUUAACUCUCUCUCUCUCUUACCCUACCUGUUAGGGGUUGACUCUCUCUCUCUCUCUUACCCUACCUGUUAGGGGUUAACUCUCUCUCUCUUACCCUACCUGUUAGGGGUUGACUCUCUCUCUCUCUUACCCUACCUGUUAGGGGUUAACUCUCUCUCUCUCUUACCCUACCUGUUAGGGGUUAACUCUCUCUCUCUCUCUCUUACCCUACCUGUUAGGGGUUAACUCUCUCUCUCUCUCUCUUACCCUACCUGUUAGGGGUUGACUCUCUCUCUCUCUUACCCUACCUGUUAGGGGUUAACUCUCUCUCUCUCUUACCCUACCUGUUAGGGGUUGACUCUCUCUCUCUCUCUCUCUUACCCUACCUGUUAGGGGUUAACUCUCUCUCUCUCUCUCUCUUACCCUACCUGUUAGGGGUUGACUCUCUCUCUCUCUCUCUUACCCUACCUGUUAGGGGUUGACUCUCUCUCUCUCUUACCCUACCUGUUAGGGGUUAACUCUCUCUCUCUCUUACCCUACCUGUUAGGGGUUAACUCUCUCUCUCUCUUACCCUACCUGUUAGGGGUUAACUCUCUCUCUCUCUUACCCUACCUGUUAGGGGUUGACUCUCUCUCUCUCUCUCUCUUACCCUACCUGUUAGGGGUUAACUCUCUCUCUCUCUUACCCUACCUGUUAGGGGUUAACUCUCUCUCUCUCUUACCCUACCUGUUAGGGGUUAACUCUCUCUCUCUCUUACCCUACCUGUUAGGGGUUAACUCUCUCUCUCUCUCUCUUACCCUACCUGUUAGGGGUUAACUCUCUCUCUCUCUUACCCUACCUGUUAGGGGUUAACUCUCUCUCUCUCUUACCCUACCUGUUAGGGGUUAACUCUCUCUCUCUCUUACCCUACCUGUUAGGGGUUAACUCUCUCUCUCUCUCUCUUACCCUACCUGUUAGGGGUUAACUCUCUCUCUCUCUCUCUUACCCUACCUGUUAGGGGUUAACUCUCUCUCUCUCUUACCCUACCUGUUAGGGGUUAACUCUCUCUCUCUCUUACCCUACCUGUUAGGGGUUAACUCUCUCUCUCUCUUACCCUACCUGUUAGGGGUUAACUCUCUCUCUCUCUUACCCUACCUGUUAGGUGUUAACUCUCUCUCUCUCUUACCCUACCUGUUAGGGGUUAACUCUCUCUCUCUUACCCUACCUGUUAGGGGUUAACUCUCUCUCUCUCUUACCCUACCUGUUAGGGGUUAACUCUCUCUCUCUCUUACCCUACCUGUUAGGGGUUGACUCUCUCUCUCUCUUACCCUACCUGUUAGGGGUUAACUCUCUCUCUCUCUUACCCUACCUGUUAGGGGUUAACUCUCUCUCUCUCUUACCCUACCUGUUAGGGGUUGACUCUCUCUCUCUUACCCUACCUGUUAGGGGUUAACUCUCUCUCUCUCUUACCCUACCUGUUAGGGGUUAACUCUCUCUCUCUUGCCCUACCUGUCCUAAGGACCCAUUUGAAGGGAUCUCAGAAGAGUACAGGAAGGCCCUGGGAGAGGAGGAGCACAGGCUGCUCACUGGGUUCUUUAAUAAAACCGGCACUGAUUCCAUCCUGCUGGAGAUGCACGAGUUCCUGAUACUGGUCCUGAAGGGUCCCCGUGCAUCUGACACCUACAGGCCUGACUGGGGUCUGAAAGACACACUUGUGGCCUACAUGGAACGUAAGAACCUGGACAUGCCACCUGAUGUCGAGGAGUUCUUCCCUGAAGAGAUCGAACUGUCUCAGUACAUCGAAGCCUGGAAGUUUGCGGUGGCAUUGAAACGGGAGAGGAGUCAGAGGUAGCUCCAACCUCUCACACUCACGCUCAUUGAUUUAAUAUGCAAUGGAGAAGAAGGGGGAAAAAAACAGCAAAUGUAAACACAUCUGGGAGCCCCCUCGUCAUUAGUGAAGGAAGGUACAAAGCUGCAGUUACUGUCUCCUAGCGGUCUAAACGGCUGCCUCCAGAACACAUAUGCCUCUGCAGCAUGGGUUCCAAUCCGGCACAAUGAUAUCUCAGCAAAAAACUCUCUAUACUAUCUUUCCCACUGUCUCUCCUCUAUCCAAUAAAACAUAUAUUUUUUUAAAUGAUUAAAAAAAAGAUAUACCUUUUUUUAAAGCUGCGGUUACUAGGAAAGGAUAAGAGCAAUAGUAAAGUGAAUACGUGAAUUUUGUUUCGCCGUAAGUUGGUUAGCUAGCCAGAGUUAUGUGCAUUUUAUUUACAGCUAUCUACCACUCGUACUCGCUUUUCUUCAUGCCUCCAAAAUGCUGAGACUCUAGUUAUGUCAAGGUUCUGACAAUGGAAGAACAGGUGAUGGCAUUCCAGGCCUUUACAUUUUUUGAUUUAAUGUUAAAAAAAUAUAUAAUAAUUGGGGGAAUAAUUACUUUUAUUAGAUUUACUUUAACUUCAAUUAAAUGUAGGUUGGUUAGGCCUACUGUCAUCAUAGUUUCUGACACAUCACUAGCUUUUAAAUGUGUAAUAAGUACAUUAAACACAAGAAUCGGGAACAUUGUCAGUGAAGAGUUGUGAAAAUAUGUAGUAAGGAAAAUGCAUAGAGUUAGAUAGAGGACUCAUCUUUGUAUUUGUGCCAUUGUAGUGUCUGUAACAGCCUCAAUGGCACUGCCCAUUCUAUCUCCAAUUUUGAAGUAGUCAAUUUUCUUAUUUUUUUGUGUUUAAAAAAAACAUAUAUAUAUAUACACAAAUAUUGGUGGUUUACUGGCACCAGCAGUGCUGAAGUCUUAAACUAAAUCAUGUGUGUUAUUCCAGUUGACUAUUUAAAAAUUGUGGAAGCCUUAAAUAUCAAUCUUAAAAAGGGUUAUAUCCAUUUAGAGUCCUCUAACUUACUAUGGUAAAAUGUCAGCAUCAGAACAUGUACCAGUUACACCUCCGACAUUGCAAUGAUAUGCAGUUUAAUGUAGAUCUGAUUAAAUCUAGAUGAUAUGCAGUUUAAUGUAGAUCUGAUUAAAUCUAGAUGAUAUGCAGUUUAAUGUAGAUCUGAUUAAAUCUAGAUGAUAUGCAGUUUAAUGUAGAUCUGAUUAAAUCUAGAUGAUAUGCAGUUUAAUGUAGAUCUGAUUAAAUCUAGAUAUGCUAUGCAGUUUAAUGUAGAUCUGAUUAAAUCUAGAUGAUAUGCUAUGCAGUUUAAUGUAGAUCUGAUUAAAUCUAGAUGAUAUGCAGUUUAAUGUAGAUCUGAUUAAAUCUAGAUGAUAUGCAGUUUAAUGUAGAUCUGAUUAAAUCUAGAUGAUAUGCAGUUUAAUGUAGAUCUGAUUAAAUCUAGAUGAUAUGCAGUUUAAUGUAGAUCUGAUUAAAUCUAGAUAUGCUAUGCAGUUUAAUGUAGAUCUGAUUAAAUCUAGAUGAUAUGCAGUUUAAUGUAGAUCUGAUUAAAUCUAGAUGAUAUGCAGUUUAAUGUAGAUCUGAUUAAAUCUAGAUAUGCUAUGCAGUUUAAUGUAGAUCUGAUUAAAUCUAGAUAUGCUAUGCAGUUUAAUGUAGAUCUGAUUAAAUCUAGAUGAUAUGCAGUUUAAUGUAGAUCUGAUUAAAUCUAGAUGAUAUGCAGUUUAAUGUAGAUCUGAUUAAAUCUAGAUAUGCUAUGCAGUUUAAUGUAGAUCUGAUUAAAUCUAGAUGAUAUGCAGUUUAAUGUAGAUCUGAUUAAAUCUAGAUGAUAUGCUAUGCAGUUUAAUGUAGAUCUGAUUAAAUCUAGAUGAUAUGCAGUUUAAUGUAGAUCUGAUUAAAUCUAGAUGAUAUGCAGUUUAAUGUAGAUCUGAUUAAAUCUAGAUAUGCUAUGCAGUUUAAUGUAGAUCUGAUUAAAUCUAGAUAUGCUAUGCAGUUUAAUGUAGAUCUGAUUAAAUCUAGAUAUGCUAUGCAGUUUAAUGUAGAUCUGAUUAAAUCUAGAUAUGAUUAUGCAGUUUAAUGUAGAUCUGAUUAAAUCUAGAUAUGCUAUGCAGUUUAAUGUAGAUCUGAUUAAAUCUAGAUAUGCUAUGCAGUUUAAUGUAGAUCUGAUUAAAUCUAGAUAUGCUAUGCAGUUUAAUGUAGAUCUGAUUAAAUCUAGAUGAUAUGCUAUGCUGUUUAAUGUAGAUCUGAUUAAAUCUAGAUAUGCUAUGCAGUUUAAUGUAGAUAUGAUUAAAUCUAGAUGAUAUGCAGUUUAAUGUAGAUCUGAUUAAAUCUAGAUGAUAUGCAGUUUAAUGUAGAUCUGAUUAAAUCUAGAUGAUAUGCUAUGAAGUUUAAUGUAGAUAUGAUUAAAUCUAGAUGACAUGCUAUGCAGUUUAAUGUAGAUCUGAUUAAAUCUAGAUGAUAUGCUGUUUAAUGUAGAUCUGAUUUAAAUCUAGGCCCUAGACUUGAAGUAUAGUAAAUUGUCAAUUUGUUCAUUUGGAAGUUAUUUUAUAUUGCAGUUGGGCAAUUUAUCAUGAAUCUCAAGGAUGAAAUUUGUUUGUGAAAAAUGUUAUUGUGCUAAUUAAAACAAUGAUGGAAACAAAAAAUAA